UUCAUAACAGAUCCAAAUCUUGUCGGCGUGGGAGUUGCCAGGAAUUGUGGAUCUAGAUUUUUGCCAUCUUCCCCUUUGCAUCCUUAGCAGUCGCACAAAUUCGUGGACCUGAAUUGGGAUUUGGAUCUUCAAUGCGCUUUAAGGUUAUGGUUGGGUUUGGGAUCGCGAAAUUGGGGGUGGAUGUGAGAGGAGCACCAACUUCCGCGUCUCGCCUCCGCCACCGUGCUCUCUGGUGAACAAGAGGUAAGGCUUUCUCCUUUUUCUGUGGAACACAACUUUCAAAUCACGUCCUCAUUAUUCAAACAAGACUUCUUCACCACCAAUUUGAAAGAACCCUUGCUUUCAACCCGUGUCUCAUUCAUCCAAUGUCGGAAAAUUCAACAUAUACAAUGAAUUACCUCUAUAAUUUAUCAGAAAGCAUGUCGUCUUGAACAUCAUACUACCAUUAACCUAAGAUUUAGACCAAUAAAAUGGCAGUUUGGGUGAGAAAAAUCUUUAAAAUAGAAAACAGUAUUUGACGCUAAAAUUUUACUUACAACUUCUCAAAAGUUUAAGAAAGUACUGAGAUUUUUUAAUUUUGCAACUACCACUGUCUCAAAUCAGGUCUCAUUUUAUAGCCAAAGAAAACAAACCGCAGAAUUUUAUUUCUUUUCUAUACUCAUCAAUUUCAUAAUUCUUUUCGACAUCAUUCCAUUUUGGGUAUUCAUAGAAAAUUCCUCGAAUGGUACCACAAUUCAUUCCAUGUACAACAAUGUGUUGAACCACUUCAACAAGUCUGCGUGUAUGAUAUUCAGUGUAUCUGAUGUUCGUAUUAAUUCUUUAAAAAUACAAAUUCAUUGAUUCCAAAUUUUAUAGGAUCUUUUGUCAAGUCUAUUUCUCUCUAAAAAUACAUAAAAAGUAUUAGUUCAUGUAAAAAGUGCAGUUUAUUGUUUUUAACCCGUAGCUAUACAGUAUCAAUCAUAAUCAAUAGGACAUGUUGUAGUGUAAAAAUCGCUAAAAAUCACACUAAAUUUGAAAUGACAUGAGAGCAAAGGCAUUGCGGAGAGGACAAAAGGAAAUUGGAGAAGAAAAAACAGAGAGACGGGUAAAGAAAGGACCUCUUGCUUGCCCUUGGUGAGGGAGGGGCAUGACGACGAAGUUUCUGUACUAGUUCUCUUUCUUAGGUUAACGAUGAUUGGCACUGGUUCUUAGUGAGUAUACUCUUUGCAUUUUUU
rnacentral:lncRNA from 1 species